rnacentral:rRNA from 1 species
UUCUUAUAGAAAUAAUUAUAAGUAAAGCCUGCUCAAUGAAAUAAAUAAAUAAAUAGCCGCAGAUAAACACUGUGCUAAGGUAGCAUAAUCAUUUGUUUUAUAAUUUAAAACUAGUAUGAAUGGUAUAACGUUUAAUAACUAUAUAAUAAUUAAAGUAUAAAAUUUAUUUAAAUGUUAAAAUACAUUUAUAUAUAAAAAAGACGACAAGACCCUAUUGAACUUAACUACAUGUUUAACUGGGACAGUUUAUUAAUAAAAUUUUAAUUUAUUAACAAAAUAUCCUUAAAAAAGAUAUAUAACCAAGUUACCAUAGGGAUAACAGCGCAAUUUAAUUUAAAAGCUCGUAUUUUAAAAUAAGAUUACGACCUCGAUGUUGAAUAAUAAAUCUAAUAUAAUGCAACGAUUUGUAAAGAAGGUCUGUUCGACCUUUAAUUUAUUACA